rnacentral:lncRNA from 1 species
UGGAGUUGUUUUGGGUUGCUGCGGUCUUUGGUCUCCUGUCCUCUGCACAGUCAGCUCCUGUUACCAGCUGUGAGACGCUCACCAAACAUGAUGACAUAAUAAGAGAUCAGCUGCUGGGAAAAUGGAUCCUUAUUGGAGAAACCACUGACAAAGAUGAAACGUUAUCAAUGAUAAGGUCGUUAGUGGACACUGUGUUUUGGAACAUCACAGAGACUGACACGACAGAUGGACUCCAAAUUUUCCACCAUCAGAAAACGUAACUUCACAGUUAAAUUCAUGAAAAGAACAUUCAACAUGUGCAGGGAUGUUAUCUACUACUAAAUGUUUCCUGA